rnacentral:rRNA from 1 species
AGCGAACGUUAGCGGCGGGCCUAACACAUGCAAGUCGAGCGAGAAAGGGGCUUCGGUCCUGAGUAAAGCGGCGGACGGGUGAGUAACACGUAGGUAAUCUUCCCUUGAGCGGGGGACAACGGUCCGAAAGGACCGCUAAUACCGCGUACGUUUCCGAGGACCUCGGUCCUUGGAAGGAAAGCUAGGUCGCAAGAUCCAGCACUCGAGGAGGAGCCUGCGUCGCAUCAGCUAGUUGGUGGGGUAAUGGCCUACCAAGGCGAAGACGCGUAGCUGGUCUGAGAGGGUGGCCCCCCACAAUGGAACUGAAACACGGUCCAUACACCUACGGGAGGCAG